rnacentral:rRNA from 1 species
AGAGCGAACGCUGGCGGCAGGCCUAAUACAUGCAAGUCGAACGGACCCUUCGGGGUUAGUGGCGGACGGGUGAGUAACACGUGGGAACGUGCCCUUUGGUUCGGAACAACUCAGGGAAACUUGAGCUAAUACCGAAUGUGCCCUUCGGGGGAAAGAUUUAUCGCCAUUGGAGCGGCCCGCGUCUGAUUAGCUAGUUGGUGAGGUAAAGGCUCACCAAGGCGACGAUCAGUAGCUGGUCUGAGAGGAUGAUCAGCCACACUGGGACUGAGACACGGCCCAGACUCCUACGGGAGGCAGCAGUAGGGAAUCUUGCGCAAUGGGCGAAAGCCUGACGCAGCCAUGCCGCGUGAAUGAUGAAGGUCUUAGGAUUGUAAAAUUCUUUCAGCGGGACGAUAAUGACGGUACCCGCAGAAGAAGCCCCGGCUAACUUCGCGCCAGCAGCCGC